rnacentral:rRNA from 1 species
UACGGAGGGUGCAAGCGUUAUCCGGAUUUACUGGGUUUAAAGGGUGCGUAGGUGGGUAAGUAAGUCAGUGGUGAAAUCUUCGAGCUUAACUCGGAAACUGCCAUUGAUACUAUUUAUCUUGAAUACUUUGGAGGUAAGCGGAAUAUGUCAUGUAGCGGUGAAAUGCUUAGAUAUGACAUAGAACACCAAUUGCGAAGGCAGCUUACUACACAGUUAUUGACACUGAGGCUCGAAAGCGUGGGGAGCAAACAGG